CUNGCGNUGCCGCGUGAGUGACGAAGGNCUUAGGAUCGUAAAGCUCUUUCGCCAGGGAUGAUAAUGACAGUACCUGGUAAAGAAACCCCGGCUAACUCCGUGCCAGCAGCCGCGGUAAUACGGAGGGGGUUAGCGUUGUUCGGAAUUACUGGGCGUAAAGCGCACGUAGGCGGAUCAAUAAGUUAGAGGUGAAAUCCCAGGGCUCAACCCUGGAACUGCCUUUAAUACUGUUGGUCUAGAGUUCGAGAGAGGUAAGUGGAAUUCCGAGUGUAGAGGUGAAAUUCGUAGAUAUUCGGAGGAACACCAGUGGCGAAGGCGGCUUACUGGCUCGAUACUGACGCUGAGGUGCNAAAGUGUGGGGAGCAAACAGGAUUANAUACCCUGGUAGUCCACUGCUGCCUCCCGUAGGAAANNCCA
rnacentral:rRNA from 1 species